UAUAUAGUGUAUGUUUCAAUAUGAUAUGUCACUUUUUGUGUGGAAAUUAGAGAUAAAAUCAAUGAUAUGCUGCUGUGCCGCACGCGCACUAUAAAACCACACAAAAAUAAUAAAUGGAACGUUGUCCUUGCUUGACGUAGAAACAGGUGAACAAUUUUGGAACACUGAGCCUGGCUGCACCAGGUGGCGGUAUUACGAUGAAUGGGUUGCUUUUGACAAUAAGGCACCGGACUACAGCCAUAUGGUUUUGAACCUAGAAGAAGACCAAGAGACGGGAGUAGGCAAGAAUGACUCGAACGGGAUUGGCCAGAAAAUCAUGGUAAACUAACGUUACUGAGUGCUGAAGAGAUAGAAUGGUCCUCCAGAGCCUUAUAACCGACUACCUGAGAUCUCUCCAGAGCACAGAGAAGUGAGUCUGCUGGGCUACAGAACUUUAGAGCAGCACAUACAAAAUCUGACAACAGGGUGGCAGGUUAUCUGCAGACAGUUCCCUGAAGAAGGAUGCAACUAUCAAGGUUUUCAAAGGCUACAUUUUGCGAAUGACCAAAUGCAAUAAAAUGUUGUAAACUCAGCAAAAAAAGA